GAUGGCUAGCUAAGUCAGUAGAGCAUGAGACUCUUAAUCUCAGGGUUCAAGCCCCACGUUGGACA